rnacentral:rRNA from 1 species
GAUGAACGCUAGCGGGAGGCCUAACACAUGCAAGCCGAGCGGUAUUUGUUCUUCGGAACAGAGAGAGCGGCGCACGGGUGCGGAACACGUGUGCAACCUGCCUUUAUCUGGGGGAUAGCCUUUCGAAAGGAAGAUUAAUACCCCAUAUAUAUUGAGUGGCAUCAUUUGAUAUUGAAAACUCCGGUGGAUAGAGAUGGGCACGCGCAAGAUUAGAUAGUUGGUGAGGUAACGGCUCACCAAGUCAAUGAUCUUUAGGGGGCCUGAGAGGGUGAUCCCCCACACUGGUACUGAGACACGGACCAGACUCCUACGGGAGGCAGCAGUGAGGAAUAUUGGACAAUGGGUUAGCGCCUGAUCCAGCCAUCCCGCGUGAAGGACGACGGCCCUAUGGGUUGUAAACUUCUUUUGUAUAGGGAUAAACCUACUCUCGUGAGAGUAGCUGAAGGUACUAUACGAAUAAGCACCGGCUAACUCCGUG